rnacentral:rRNA from 1 species
AAUAGAUACCCCGGUAGUCCAUGCCGUAAACGUUGGGAACUAGAUGUAGGGCCUGUUCCACGGGUUCUGUGUCGUAGCUAACGCAUUAAGUUCCCCGCCUGGGGAGUACGGCCGCAAGGCUAAAACUCAAAGGAAUUGACGGGGGCCCGCACAAGCGGCGGAGCAUGCGGAUUAAUUCGAUGCAACGCGAAGAACCUUACCAAGGCUUGACAUAUAGAAGAACACUGCAGAGAUGCAGGACUCUUUGGACACUUCUAUACAGGUGGUGCAUGGUUGUCGUCAGCUCGUGUCGUGAGAUGUUCGGUUAAGUCCGGCAACGAGCGCAACCCUCGUCCUAUGUUGCCAGCACGUAAUGGUGGGAACUCAUGGGAUACUGCCGUGGUCAACACGGAGGAAGGUGGGGAUGACGUCAAAUCAUCAUGCCCCUUAUGUCUUGGGCUUCACGCAUGCUACAAUGGCCGGUACAAAGGGCUGCGAUACCGCAAGGUGGAGCGAAUCCCAAAAAGCCGGUCUCAGUUCGGAUUGGGGU